rnacentral:rRNA from 1 species
CUGGUAUGUACUGGCUUCGCUGAUUCCUCCUUUCUGAAGAACUGUAAUGUCAUUAAUUUGGUGUUGCAGGGAAACAGGACUGUUACUUUGAAAAAAUUAGAGUGUUUAAAGCAGGCUAACGCUUGAAUACAUUAGCAUGGAAUAAUGAAAUAGGACGUUCGAUCCUAUUUUGUUGGUUUCUAGGAUUGACGUAAUGAUUAAUAGGGAUAGUUGGGGGCAUUAGUAUUCAAUUGUCAGAGGUGAAAUUCUUGGAUUUAUUGAAGACUAACUACUGCGAAAGCAUUUGCCAAGGAUGUUUUCAUUAAUCAAGAACGAAAGUUAGGGGAUCGAAGACGAUCAGAUACCGUCGUAGUCUUAACCAUAAACUAUGCCGACUAGGGAUCGGAUGAUGUUAAUUUUUUAAUGACUCAUUCGGCGCCUUACG